rnacentral:snRNA from 1 species
UAAAAUUGGGAUAAAAUUGAGAUUAGCAUGGCUCCUGCGCAAGGAUGACACGCAAAUUCAUUAAGUGUUCCAUAUUUUU